GACAGAGGUGCCGAGCGUUAGGCGGAAUCACUGGGCUUAAAGCGUGUGUAGGCGGGUCGUUAAGUGUCUUGUGAAAUCCCACCGCUCAACGGUGGAACCGCUGGGCAUACUGGCGAUCUUGAGCAGUCCAGGGGCGAGCGGAACAAGCGGUGGAGCGGUGAAAUGCGUAGAUAGCGCUUGGAACGCCGACGGUGAAAACAGCUCGCUGGGGACUCGCUGACGCUGAGACACGAAAGCCAGGGGAGCGAACGGG
rnacentral:rRNA from 1 species